AUACGGAGGGUCCAAGCGUUAUCCGGAAUCAUUGGGUUUAAAGGGUGCGCAGGCGGUUUAUUAAGUCAGUGGUGAAAUCUCGAGGCUCAACCUCGAAACUGCCAUUGAUACUGAUAAACUUGAGUUCAGUUGGAGUAGGCGGAAUGUGUAGUGUAGCGGUGAAAUGCUUAGAUAUUACACAGAACACCGAUAGCGAAGGCAGCUUACUAAACUGAUACUGACGCUGAGGCACGAAAGCGUGGGGAGCGAACGGGAUUAGAAACCCUAGUAGUCC
rnacentral:rRNA from 1 species